GCAGGGUGUGGUGGUGCGCACCUGUAAUCCCAGCUACUUGGGAGGCUGAGACAGGAGAAUCACUUGAACCCAGGAGGCAGAAGUUGCAGUGAGCUGAGAUCAUGCCAUUGCACUCCAGCCUGGGUGACAGGGUGAGACUCUGUCUUUA
rnacentral:SRP_RNA from 1 species